rnacentral:rRNA from 1 species
UGCCAGCCGCCGCGGUAAUACGGAAGGUCCAAGCGUUAAUCGGAAUUACUGGGCGUAAAGCGCGCGUAGGUGGUUUAUUAAGUUGGAUGUGAAAUCCCCGGGCUCAACCUGGGAACUGCAUCCAAAACUGAUUCACUAGAGUACGAUAGAGGGAGGUAGAAUUCACAGUGUAGCGGUGGAAUGCGUAGAUAUUGUGAAGAAUACCAAUGGCGAAGGCAGCCUCCUGGAUCUGUACUGACACUGAGGUGCGAAAGCGUGGGUAGCGAACAGGAUUAGAUA